rnacentral:ncRNA from 1 species
GAGAGCACAGUACGAUGAAAGUUGUAAGCUGUGUUCGGGGGGGAGUUAUUGUCUAUCGUCGGCCUCUAUGGUAGAAUCAGUCGGGGGCCCGAGAGGUGGUGGUUUACCCUAU